AUUGAACGCUGGCGGCAGGCCUAACACAUGCAAGUCGAGCGAGCGGCGGACGGGUGAGUAAUGUAUGGGGACUGCCCGAUAGAGGGGGAGAACUACUGGAAACGGUAGCUAAUACCGCAUACUAUCGGAUAACACAUAUGGUAGUAGCUAGUUGGUGAGGUAAUGGCUCACCAAGGCGACGAUCCCUAGCUGGUCUGAGAGGAUGAUCAGCCACACUGGUACUGAGACACGGCCCAUACUCCUACGGAGGCAGCAGGGGGGAAUAUUGCACAAUGGGCGCAAGCCUGAUGCAGCCAUGCCGCGUGUAUGAAGAAGGCCCUAGGGUUGUAAAGUACUUUCAGUCGGGAGGCGUUACCGACAGAAGAAGCACCGGCUAACUCCGUGCCAGCAGCCGCGGUAAUUC
rnacentral:rRNA from 1 species